CUCUCAUAAUCGAUUUGGCCAUUCAUUUGGAAAAAGCUGGACUACGUGAAUAAAAUCAACAAAAUUAUUGAUUUUAUUAGGAAAAGCCAAACGUUUUAAUAAUUUAAUAAAGCAUUGUGAGGCCAUACAGUGUAAAGAAAAAUAAUGCCAAUAGAAUGGUUUUAAAGUGAACAAAAAAGAAAACAUGCUCGAUAUCAGAGUAGUGUGGUGUAAAAAUCCAUAGUGGAGAAAAAUAAACAGCAGGCGACAACAGUGUCAGAGUCAAAGUAGUAGUCAGUCCAUUUCAGAUUUUGCCAAAAACAAAUGCAUUAAAAAAAACCAAAAACACGAAAAUAGCACAAAAGUGAAAUUUGGCAGAGGGCAAGCAAAAAUAACAGAAAAAAGAUCAAUUAAAGUGAAAUAAAACAAAAGAAAAAAAGAAGCAGAAGUUUUAUACAUUGUUUGUAUUUGGAGCUUUACAGCAAUAUAGCAGGCAACCAAUAACCCUUCCACAGCGGAUCAUUCGUCUUCCUCAUUGCCGUUGCUGCCUGCUGCCUUCGCCUUUAUGUUUUGAGUGUGUUUAGUGCGUGCGUGUGUGUGUGUGUAUUUGCUGUCGUGACAGAAAUAAGAAAAUAUCAUAAAAAUUGAAUUAACAAUAAAAUAAAAACGUUCAUUUGAAUAUAAAAACAUUUCAAUUCGCAAAAACACCCAACACCAACUGCAAACCGAGCUCAAAUGAGCAGAAACAUGAGAGCACAGGAUGGGGGUCAUGGCGCGCCAGUCAUGCGGCGCAAAACAAAUGCUCCAAGUUCAUUAUUGACCGCCGAUGAGAAUGAAGCGGUAUUUCGUAUGGUCGGUGACAAAUGUCAGACUCUCAAUACGGCCGUGGUACAAAUCUAUAAAACCGAAGCUUCCGCACACUCCCAUUGGAAAAAGAAAUAUACGGGCGUUGUGUGUUUCGUCAAGGACUGGGAUUUGCGUUCCUAUUUUUUAAGGGCCUAUUGUCUAAUUAAACAUGAGCUGAUAUGGCAACAUGAACUAUAUGAUGCCAUGAAACUAAAUAAGGCCCGCUCAUUUCUAUUGACUUUUGAGGGACAGGAUGGCCAUGUUGGUUUAAACUUUGUGUCGGAAGAUGAAUGUGAUUCAUUUUAUCGUGCUGUGGAUAAAACGAUUGAAACUAGGAACCGUAAGAAUUUAGAAAAACGCAAUAAACGUAAAUCGCAAAUGGCUCCAUCCGCACCAUUAGCGCCGCUGCCCAAAGAACCUGAUACAAAUGCGGUACAGUUAAGGAAUAAUACAUCCAAAAUUGGUACCAUCAACCUAACGCCAGCCCCAACGCAGCCAACAUCGAAACACUUAUUCUCGUCGCUGUCAUCGUCGUCGUCUUCCAACAAUAAAAAGCUAAAACCAAAAUUCAAUAAAUGUGAUAUUGGGGCGCCCACCAAUUUCCGUCAUGUCUCCCAUGUGGGUUGGGACGAUGACAAGGGAUUCGAUUGUGUGGGCGAUGAAAAUGACGAAGUGCUAAAUCAAUUCUUUGUCAAGGCUGGUGUAUCGAAAACGCAACUCAACGAUCGUGACACGAGAGCUUUUAUCUAUGAUUUCAUACAGAAUAAAAAUGUUUUGGACAUUGUGAAACAAGAGAAUGUAGAGAAACCAAUGAAAACCGCCCAGGCGGCUCCUCCACCUCCACCAACAAGACAUCACCAUCAUCAUACUCAAAAUGGCAAUACAUCGACUGCAACGAGUACCCCUAGAACUGCACCACCUCCACCAGCUAGACAACCUCCUCCACCAGUACCUACAACUGUGCCUGGUCUUUCAAGAGCACCUGCGCCACCUUCUAGACCACCACCACCUCCAGCACCCAGCAUGACGGCACCGCCACCACCUCCACCACCACCAGCAGCAACAUUUGCUCCUCCUCCACCGCCACCACCACCAGCGAUGGGAGAAUUGCCAACAAUUACAACAUCCCAUGUUAAAUCUGAAACUAAGGCUCCUUCCAGUUUACCGCCUAUUACAGAUACUCGCAGCGAACUAAUGGAUAGUAUUCGUAAAGGUGUAGCGCUUAAGAAAGUGGAUACAUCAGCUCUUAGCACGGGUAGCGGAGAUUCACAUGGCGAUCUUAUGUCGGAGAUUCGUAUGGGCUUUGAACUUAAACCAGCUCAAAGUAGAGAGAUACCCGCAAAUCGCAUUAGCGAUGAAAAUGUGUCCGGUACCGAUGCUUUAGCUGAUGCUCUGCGAAGAGCUUUAUUAGAUCGCGGUCGUGUAAUACAAUCCUCCGACGAUGAGUCAGAUUCAUCGGGCAAUGAUGAUGAAUGGGAUGAUUAAAAUGGCCAAGCCAUUUCAUCUAUGUUUAUAUAUACAUGUAUGACCAAAGGUGGAAACAAUGGGAAGGUUUUGAUUAAUCUUCAUCGGGCAAAAAAUGACGAUGAAAAUCUGAAGUCUUUUACAUCCAUUACAUAAAUUCCUGCUUUUACAACAUUUUUUUCUAUUUCAUUAUAGAAUUCUAGUCUUUUUUAAAGUAUUCCUUUUAACUUAUAGAACUCCACACAAGAACACACCUGUCAUUUAAAAUGUGGUGUUUUUUUCUUUCUUGCUAAAUAAUUCUCUUAAUGCAUAUCCUGCUCAAUUAAAAAUUAUUGAAAAAAAAAAUCAAUCAAACAAACAGCAAACAAUAGCAAACCAAAACUACUACAAAUAGUACGUAAUACGACCAUUAAAUAUCUAUAUAUCACUACCAUUGCGCAGCAAUUCGAAACAAAAUACAAGUAAUAACAAUUCAAAUUGGAAAAAACAAAAUUUAAAAAAAAUAAAAAUAUUUAUAUGUAUGUAAUUUAAAAAAAAAAAAAAACUAUUUUAACUAUAAUAAUUUUAAAUUAGUAACAAUUGUGCCAAAUACAAAGAAAAUAAUUAUUGAACUAUUAAGAAAAACCAACUUACAUCACACUGUAUUGAACGAAAUAGAUGAGAGUGCAACUGGUAACAGUUUUCGAAAUUAAAAUUUUUGAUCAAAUAAGCAAUAGCAUAUAAACAAAAACUACAAAAUAUGACGAAAAGCAAAUAAAAUUUUCUGUACUAUGUAUACAAAUAGUAUUGCACAUAUUAUUUAUGUAUGUAUUAUAAAUAUAUAUAGAAAUUAUAAGAUCAAAGUUUUAUUAAGUCACACUUACCCCCUUAGCUAUAGUUUUGUAUCCCUCGCUGUACAUCCUAAACGAGCAGUUUCUCGGUUUCCCUGCUACUUAACCUUAUCAUCAGAUCUUGCUAUGUUUAGUAUCAUUUUGUUGUUGUUGUAGCAGUGUGUUGUACACUAAGGCGGCAGCCCUUGCCGAUUAAGAACUUCACCGGUAUGUACAACCGGCUGCCUUGGGAUUUUGGAGAUCUUGUGUGUGGAAAAAAUUAAAAUCUUCCACAUAAUAGUUGUGUUUGCAUACUUCGAGAUUACAAAUUUGCAGGCGAGUAUAAGCAACUUCUUCCGGUUUUUGUUUGAAUAAAACAGUUGGUAUAUAAAACAUCUGGACGAGACUGCUAUUUGCCGCUGGGAAAAACCCCUUCAGAAUAAACUUGCUGCUUUUCAAUUCCAAAACUCUCAAUCCCGUAUUUGGGAAAACUCCCCAUGCUCUACCCUGAAAUGUUGUCCAAUAUGAGAAAAAUUAUAUUCAAAUGAAAUGAAAUAUUGCAAAUGCAAAUUUGCCUAUGAACAUUCCAUUUAGGAACUGGGGCAAAUUUCUCUCAAAUCAAUGAGUGCUGUCUGAUUCAAUUUUAAGGGAAUUCCUUUUUAUAGCCGAGUCCGAACGGCGUGCCGCAGAGCAAAACCUCUUUGGGAAAAGUUUUUACAUGAUAAAGUGCCUCAGAAAUGUCGCCAGCAUUAGGAGGGGAUAACCACCGCUGAAAAUUUUUCUGAUGGUCGUGCCAGGGAUCGAAUCCAGGCGUUCAGCGUCAUAGGCGGACAUGCUAACCUCUGCGCUACGGUGGCCUCCAGGACGUGUCAGGGAUCGAACCCAGACGUUCAGCGUCAUAGGCGGACAUGCUAACCUCUGCGCUACGGUGGCCUCCAAUAAAAUAUAACAUAAAAAAAAAAUUUUGUAAAAUCGUACGAGUUGACUCAGGGUCUCAAGAAAAUUCUGACCCGUCUCCAAAAAUAUACAAUAUGGUGUUCUAAUAAAAAACUUGUAUUUUUGUUAUCUAUAUAUUUUAUAUAUUUUGUAUAUUUUUUUAUCAUAUAAUGCCACGUUUUGGUGGAAAAAAUGGUGAUUUCCUACCAACAUUUAAGAAAAAUCCUACCAAACCAGAGCAAAAUCCACCACCGCCACCGCCGAACAUUUGGACAUUUUGACAUUCCAUUUUUCACACAUCAAAUUACAAUAUAUUGUAACGACAGGUUUCCCCUCGUGGGCUAGGGUAUAAUUCGCGGGGGAAGGGUCCGUCACAGAGAUUUAUAUUUGCCGAUACUAGAGUAAAGAACACGGAGUUUGUUUAGGUUUUUACAAUCUUGUUUAUUUGAGUGUAGGUAUAAAGAUGAUAAGUGACUACAAGCGUAUACUUAACGCCGAGGCCUGGAGCGGCACUCGGAAAUACGGGCCAAAUCAGGCAGUUGAUGUAGAUGGACACCUGGAACGGUACUCCGAUUGCACAACAGCUUUGCCAUGUGGGUGAAGACCUGGGACGGCAGUUCUUGAUCAAAGACGUUCCGUUCACGCUACGGCUGGUCAAACGGUGUAGCUAGGGUCUGGGCUGUAGCUAGGGUCCAAAUAAGUCGAUGGUGGGCGCCGCUAGCUGAUGAUGUUGAAGAUCUGGCACGAUACUUCCACCUUCACACACGGGUGCUGGAGUUAGGACUAGGCUGGGCUUAACGGGAAGUGAUUUGGUUGCGGGGAGGCUUGGAACAGCACUUCCAAGCGAGGCGCUGGCGUUGUUCGGCGAGGCCGUCGAGAUCAGGUUACGUCAAUCGUCGAAUCAAAGUGCGAUCGCACGGGAUAUGCCUCGGGUUGUUAUGGUGCAGUGACCACGGAAGUACACUGUUCUGAGAAGAGUGAAAUAGGCGGUGAUACGGCUCGGGGAGGAUGUAAGUAUACCGGGCUGUGGUUCACUUGGCGGGACUUUUGUGAUGCAUUGACCACGGAAGUACACUGGAUGGCGAGGGUUAAUCGGCGAUAGUAUGGUGCAGCGACCUCGAUGGUACGCUGUUGACGGGGAAUACGCGGCGAGGAGUAUACAAAGUUCCAUGGUGCAUUGUACUGUUAACGCGGACAAUCGGCAAAGGUCAGCGUAGCAUUUACGGUGCAGUGACCACGAACGUACACUAUUUCGCAAAGACACACCGGCGGAAUGAUGGAGCAGUGACAUGUACACUGUUGACGGGAUACAAACGAUGCGGCGAAACAAUGAUGUAGUGACCUCGAAUGUACACUGUUGACGGGACACAAACGAUGCGGGCAUACGGAGC